AUUGAACGCUGGCGGAAUGCUUUACACAUGCAAGUCGAACGGCAGCACGGGGGCAACCCUGGUGGCGAGUGGCGAACGGGUGAGUAAUACAUCGGAACGUGCCCAGUCGUGGGGGAUAACGUAGCGAAAGCUACGCUAAUACCGCAUACGAACUCUGGUUGAAAGCGGGGGAUCGCAAGACCUCGCGCGAUUGGAGCGGCCGAUGGCAGAUUGGGUCGUUGGUGGGGUAAAGGCCUACCAAGCCGACGAUCUGUAGCUGGUCUGAGAGGACGACCAGCCACACUGGGACUGAGACACGGCCCAGACUCCUACGGGAGGCAGAAGUGGGGAAUGUUGGACAAUGGGCGCAAGCCUGAUCCAGCCAUUCCGCGUGCAGGAUGAAGGCCCUCGGGUUGUAAACUGCUUUUGUACGGAACGAAACGGUCCUGGUUAAUACCUGGGGCUAAUGACGGUACCGUAAGAAUAAGCACCGGCUAACUACGUGCCAGCCGCCGCUGUAACAC
rnacentral:rRNA from 1 species